rnacentral:tRNA from 1 species
GGGAAAUUAGUCUAAAAUAAGACCUCUGAUUUCGGCUCAGAGAACCGUGGUUAGAGUCCACGAUCCCCUU